CGUCAUGUUAGGUGCAAUAGACAUAUUUAGAUUGAGGACGCGGACGUCAAAGACGACGCGAAAAUGGCGUGUUGUGUCCAUUUAUGGAUAUGCCACGCCAUGUUCAUAUCGUCUUUGACAUCCACGUCCUCGAUCUAAAUCUGUCUAAUAAUAGUGGGACG